UUUAUGUGUUUAGGGUGAGGAAGGUCAGAAGGGAACCAAAGGAUAUCCAGGACGUGAUGGGAACCGAGGUCGAGGGGGGAACUCAGGCAGGCCGGGAGAAUCAGGCGGGUCCGGAGAGCCAGGACAUCCAGGACACGAUGGUCCCAGAGGUCCUCCUGGAGGCAAAAGCAAGUCUGAUUGCGAGCUGAUCACCUACAUCAGAGACAACUGCCCAUGCUGCCACGGUACGUACAUCUCUAUUUUGUCACUCAGAACAACAGGGUAAGUACAGAAACAAGACUUCAGCUCUAAGGUUUACAGGAGAGAGGCCGAAAGAGUAAAAUCAUCUUGGGAAAGGUAACUUCCUCCGGCCUCCUCCCAAACCCAGCCUGAGUUCAGACCUCCUGGGGGGGUGUUCGCAGAUCAGCCGCCGCUCCUUUUGCAUUGAAGUUGAGGUGAUUAGGGCGUCUGAUCAGGAUCCUCCUGGGCGCCUCCUUUUUGGAGGUUUUGUCGGCACGUCUAACUGCCAAGAGACCCUGGAGUCGACCCAGAACUCCCUGGAGGGCUUAUAUACCUCAUCUGGAAAAGGAAGUCCUCAGGAUCCCCCAGGAGGAGCCAGAAGACGGUUGUCCAGCCUGCUGCCCCUGCGACCCAAAACCUCAGAAGAUGGACGGAUGGAUGAACAGUUUGUAGUUUAUCCAUAAACUUACACAGACACGUGGGUCUCACUCACGUUGCUCCCCCCUCCAUUCAGAUCCCUGCUCUUUACUUUCAGUAAAGAACCGGAACAGACUACAAUGCAUUGUAAAAGUCUGCACUAAGAUCGCAGGGACGGCCUUCCCCACCUAUUUCAGGUCUAGGUUUCCCAGAAAAUUCAGGCCGAUCCGUGCCACCCUUUGUGCAGGGAAUUCCGUUCUGUCGAAGGUACAAUGUGCCAAGAUGCAGAACCAGUACAUUUAAGCACUCUUUUCCCUGCUGCCUUUGGUUUCUUAAGCAACUCACUGUGAUUUAUAUGGAAUGCAUUGUUUUAUUUUUAUUGCAUAGGAUGGGCGAUGGCUG